CCUCCCCUCUCUAUAAAUCAAAAUGGAUCCCUCCACUUCCUGUUUGUCAGUAGUCCUUUCACCUGGAGCACAUGGAGCAAACAUGGGUUUGCGUCCUCAGAAGGCCGAUUAAGUCAUAGACUCCAGAUGCGCUCAAAGGGAAAAAGAGAUUUGAUCCAGUCGAGGUAGACCGCAUCCUUGGAGGACGCUGCCCAUGAAUUUGAACACAGUGGGAGCUGCAACAUGUGUGGUUAAGUGGUUUGCUAAUAAUCCAAUUUUGGACCUGGUAAAUCAGUGAAAUUACUCAAUAACUGCUACAGUAAAGGGGAGCCAGGAUGCCAGGGAAGUGGGGAUAUGUGACUUUCCACCCUGACUGUACUUUUUGUUAACCUUGAUUGUUUUCAUUUUAUGUAACAGGUAAAUAAAAAGGAUAAAUAAAACAAAAAAGAAACUGA